GACGAACGCUGGCGGCGUGCUUAACACAUGCAAGUCGAACGGAAAGGCCCUGCUUUUGUGGGGUGCUCGAGUGGCGAACGGGUGAGUAACACGUGAGUAACCUGCCCUUGACUUUGGGAUAGCUUCAGGAAACUGGGGCUAAUACCGGAUAGGAGCUCCUGCUGCAUGGUGGGGGUUGGAAAGUUUCGGCGGUUGGGGAUGGACUCGCGGCUUAUCAGCUUGUUGGUAGGGUAGUGGCUUACCAAGGCUUUGACGGGUAGCCGGCCUGAGAGGGUGACCGGCCACAUUGGGACUGAGGUACGGCCCAGACUCCUACGGGAGGCAGCAGUGGGGAAUAUUGCACAAUGGGCGGAAGCCUGAUGCAGCAACGCCGCGUGCGGGAUGACGGCCUUCGGGUUGUAAACCGCUUUCGCCUGUGACGAAGCGUGAGUGACGGUAAUGGGUAAAAAAGCACCGGCUAACUACGUG
rnacentral:rRNA from 1 species